UACGGGAGGCAGCAGUAGGGAAUUUUCGGCAAUGGGCGCAAGCCUGACCGAGCAACGCCGCGUGAGUGAAGACGGCCUUCGGGUUGUAAAGCUCUGUUGUAAGGGAAGAACACCUGUGAGAGAAUCACGGGCUGACGGUACCUUACCAGAAAGCCACGGCUAACUACGUGCCAGCAGCCGCGGUAAU
rnacentral:rRNA from 1 species